GGUCAGCUCUUCAUCCUUUACAUCAUUAACCCCAGCUUUACCCUGGCUGUUGUGUGGAGAAUGAAGUGGAGAGAAGAGCAAGGAGGUACUGCCGUUAUCUAAGGGAGGAAUGAUGGCUUGCACAAGGGCGGUGGCAGCACAGAUGGAGGUAAGUGGAUGGAUGUGAACUAUAUUGAGGAGGAAAAGCUGGGAUUGGAGUUAGAUUGGAUGUGGA
rnacentral:lncRNA from 10 species